AUCUAGUUGACGAGUCUUAAAUAGGACGAAACAUGCGUCCUGCAC
rnacentral:hammerhead_ribozyme from 1 species